ensembl:snoRNA
AAGACUAUGCUUUCAGGGAUCAUUUCUAUAGUUUCUGACUUGGAAGUUUGAUUUGAAAGUGUAACGUCUCUCUAACCACGAUGACGAGUUAAGAUGCUUUCUUCUGAGCGUGAAUCGGGUGGUGAGCGACGAGCGAGAUUGUCUGCUCUCUAUCAUUGAUGAACGUUCCUGCUGUGCUUUGCAGUCUGGAAGAAAAAAGCAUGUUCAGAGUGGUU